rnacentral:rRNA from 1 species
GGGUUGUGAGGUUAAGCGACUAAGCGUACACGGUGGAUGCCCUGGCAGUCAGAGGCGAUGAAGGACGUGCUAAUCUGCGAUAAGCGUCGGUAAGGUGAUAUGAACCGUUAUAACCGGCGAUUUCCGAAUGGGGAAACCCAGUGUGUUUCGACACACUAUCAUUAACUGAAUCCAUAGGUUAAUGAGGCGAACCGGGGGAACUGAAACAUCUAAGUACCCCGAGGAAAAGAAAUCAACCGAGAUUCCCCCAGUAGCGGCGAGCGAACGGGGAGGAGCCCAGAGCCUGAAUCAGUGUGUGUGUUAGUGGAAGCGUCUGGAAAGGCGCGCGAUACAGGGUGACAGCCCCGUACACAAAAAUGCACAUAUUGUGAGCUCGAUGAGUAGGGCGGGACACGUGGUAUCCUGUCUGAAUAUGGGGGGACCAUCCUCCAAGGCUAAAUACUCCUGACUGACCGAUAGUGAACCAGUACCGUGAGGGAAAGGCGAAAAGAACCCCGGCGAGGGGAGUGAAAAAGAACCUGAAACCGUGUACGUACAAGCAGUGGGAGCCUCUUUUAUGGGGUGACUGCGUACCUUUUGUAUAAUGGGUCAGCGACUUAUAUUCUGUAGCAAGGUUAACCGAAUAGGGGAGCCGAAGGGAAACCGAGUCUUAACUGGGCGUUAAGUUGCAGGGUAUAGACCCGAAACCCGGUGAUCUAGCCAUGGGCAGGUUGAAGGUUGGGUAACACUAACUGGAGGACCGAACCGACUAAUGUUGAAAAAUUAGCGGAUGACUUGUGGCUGGGGGUGAAAGGCCAAUCAAACCGGGAGAUAGCUGGUUCUCCCCGAAAGCUAUUUAGGUAGCGCCUCGUGAAUUCAUCUCCGGGGGUAGAGCACUGUUUCGGCAAGGGGGUCAUCCCGACUUACCAACCCGAUGCAAACUGCGAAUACCGGAGAAUGUUAUCACGGGAGACACACGGCGGGUGCUAACGUCCGUCGUGAAGAGGGAAACAACCCAGACCGCCAGCUAAGGUCCCAAAGUCAUGGUUAAGUGGGAAACGAUGUGGGAAGGCCCAGACAGCCAGGAUGUUGGCUUAGAAGCAGCCAUCAUUUAAAGAAAGCGUAAUAGCUCACUGGUCGAGUCGGCCUGCGCGGAAGAUGUAACGGGGCUAAACCAUGCACCGAAGCUGCGGCAGCGACACUAUGUGUUGUUGGGUAGGGGAGCGUUCUGUAAGCCUGUGAAGGUGUACUGUGAGGUAUGCUGGAGGUAUCAGAAGUGCGAAUGCUGACAUAAGUAACGAUAAAGCGGGUGAAAAGCCCGCUCGCCGGAAGACCAAGGGUUCCUGUCCAACGUUAAUCGGGGCAGGGUGAGUCGACCCCUAAGGCGAGGCCGAAAGGCGUAGUCGAUGGGAAACAGGUUAAUAUUCCUGUACUUGGUGUUACUGCGAAGGGGGGACGGAGAAGGCUAUGUUGGCCGGGCGACGGUUGUCCCGGUUUAAGCGUGUAGGCUGGUUUUCCAGGCAAAUCCGGAAAAUCAAGGCUGAGGCGUGAUGACGAGGCACUACGGUGCUGAAGCAACAAAUGCCCUGCUUCCAGGAAAAGCCUCUAAGCAUCAGGUAACAUCAAAUCGUACCCCAAACCGACACAGGUGGUCAGGUAGAGAAUACCAAGGCGCUUGAGAGAACUCGGGUGAAGGAACUAGGCAAAAUGGUGCCGUAACUUCGGGAGAAGGCACGCUGAUAUGUAGGUGAAGUCCCUCGCGGAUGGAGCUGAAAUCAGUCGAAGAUACCAGCUGGCUGCAACUGUUUAUUAAAAACACAGCACUGUGCAAACACGAAAGUGGACGUAUACGGUGUGACGCCUGCCCGGUGCCGGAAGGUUAAUUGAUGGGGUCAGCGCAAGCGAAGCUCUUGAUCGAAGCCCCGGUAAACGGCGGCCGUAACUAUAACGGUCCUAAGGUAGCGAAAUUCCUUGUCGGGUAAGUUCCGACCUGCACGAAUGGCGUAAUGAUGGCCAGGCUGUCUCCACCCGAGACUCAGUGAAAUUGAACUCGCUGUGAAGAUGCAGUGUACCCGCGGCAAGACGGAAAGACCCCGUGAACCUUUACUAUAGCUUGACACUGAACAUUGAGCCUUGAUGUGUAGGAUAGGUGGGAGGCUUAGAAGUGUGGACGCCAGUCUGCAUGGAGCCGACCUUGAAAUACCACCCUUUAAUGUUUGAUGUUCUAACGUUGACCCGUGAUCCGGGUUGCGGACAGUGUCUGGUGGGUAGUUUGACUGGGGCGGUCUCCUCCUAAAGAGUAACGGAGGAGCACGAAGGUUGGCUAAUCCUGGUCGGACAUCAGGAGGUUAGUGCAAUGGCAUAAGCCAGCUUGACUGCGAGCGUGACGGCGCGAGCAGGUGCGAAAGCAGGUCAUAGUGAUCCGGUGGUUCUGAAUGGAAGGGCCAUCGCUCAACGGAUAAAAGGUACUCCGGGGAUAACAGGCUGAUACCGCCCAAGAGUUCAUAUCGACGGCGGUGUUUGGCACCUCGAUGUCGGCUCAUCACAUCCUGGGGCUGAAGUAGGUCCCAAGGGUAUGGCUGUUCGCCAUUUAAAGUGGUACGCGAGCUGGGUUUAGAACGUCGUGAGACAGUUCGGUCCCUAUCUGCCGUGGGCGCUGGAGAACUGAGGGGGGCUGCUCCUAGUACGAGAGGACCGGAGUGGACGCAUCACUGGUGUUCGGGUUGUCAUGCCAAUGGCACUGCCCGGUAGCUAAAUGCGGAAGAGAUAAGUGCUGAAAGCAUCUAAGCACGAAACUUGCCCCGAGAUGAGUUCUCCCUGACUCCUUGAGAGUCCUGAAGGAACGUUGAAGACGACGACGUUGAUAGGCCGGGUGUGUAAGCGCAGCGAUGCGUUGAGCUAACCGGUACUAAUGAACCGUGAGGCUUAACCUUACAACGCCGAAG